rnacentral:rRNA from 1 species
GGAUUGCCUCAGUAACGGCGAGUGAAGCGGCAUCAGCUCAAAUUUGAAAUCUGGCUCUCUCAGGGUCUGAGUUGUAAUUUGUAGAGGGUGUAUCGGGUGCGGAGCCGGUCUAAAUCCCUUGGAACAGGGUGUCACAGAGGGUGAGAAUCCCGUAUGUGACCGGCGACCAACCCCUUGUGAAACCCCUUCGACGAGUCGAGUUGUUUGGGAAUGCAGCUCAAAAUGGGUGGUAAAUUUCAUCUAAAGCUAAAUACCGGCCAGAGACCGAUAGCGCACAAGUAGAGUGAUCGAAAGAUGAAAAGCACUUUGGAAAGAGAGUUAAAAAGUACGUGAAAUUGUUGAAAGGGAAGCGCUUGCAACCAGACCUGCUUUCGGGCGAUCAACGGCCCUCUCAGGGCCGUGCACUCGUCUGGACGCAGGCCAGCAUCGGUUUUGGCGGUCGGAUAAAGGCUUGAAGAAUGUGGCUCCCUCCGGGAAGUGUUAUAGCUUCUCGCGCAAUACGGCCAGCCGGGACCGAGGACCGCGCUUCGGCUAGGAUGCUGGCGUAAUGGUUGUAAGCGACCCGUCUUGAAACACGGACCAAGGAGUCUAACAUCUAUGCGAGUGUUUGGGUGUCAAACCCAUGCGCGGAAUGAAAGUGAACGGAGGUGGGAACCCUCAAGGGCGCACCAUCGACCGAUCCAAAUGUCUUCGGAUGGAUUUGAGUACGAGCAUAGCUGUUGGGACCCGAAAGAUGGUGAACUAUGCCUGAAUAGGGUGAAGCCAGAGGAAACUCUGGUGGAGGCUCGCAGCGGUUCUGACGUGCAAAUCGAUCGUCAAAUUUGGGUAUAGGGGCGAAAGACUAAUCGAACCAUCCCUCUAGGUGGUUAAUUGGAGAUGCGCUCUCAGCCUUUCGAGGCGACAAUGCUAGUUGCAUGAAUCUCUACGGGGCAACCCGGCACGAUUGACAUGCUGCAGCCCGCCGUUUAUGAAUGGCGCUGUUCACAGACCAAACAGCAUUGGCCAGGAGGUUUUAGAACCCUGGUUUCGAUAUGGCCGAGUCCUACUCUUUGCGGAGUUGGUUUGAACGCUAGUAGCUGGUUCCUGCCGAAGUUUCCCUCAGGAUAGCAGUAACGUUUUCAGUUUUAUGAGGUAAAGCGAAUGAUUAGAGGCCUUGGGGUUGAAACAACCUUAACCUAUUCUCAAACUUUAAAUAUGUAAGAAGUCCUUGUUACUUAGUUGAACGUGGACAUUUGAAUGCACCGUUACUAGUGGGCCAUUUUUGGUAAGCAGAACUGGCGAUGCGGGAUGAACCGAACGUGGGGUUAAGGUGCCGGAAUGUACGCUCAUCAGACACCACAAAAGGUGUUGAUUCAUCUAGACAGCCGGACGGUGGCCAUGGAAGUCGGAAUCCGCUAAGGAGUGUGUAACAACUCACCGGCCGAAUGAAUCAGCCCUGAAAAUGGAUGGCGCUCAAGCGUGCUACCCAUACCCCACCGCCAGGGUAGAAACGAUGCCCUGGCGAGUAGGCAGGCGUGGGGGUCCGUGACGAAGCCUUGGGAGUGAUCCCGGGUCGAACGGCCCCUAGUGC